rnacentral:rRNA from 1 species
UACAGAGGGUGCGAGCGUUAAUCGGAAUUACUGGGCGUAAAGCGCACGUAGGUGGCGACGUAAGUCGGGUGUGAAAGCCCCGGGCUCAACCUGGGAAUUGCAUUCGAGACUGCAUUGCUGGAGUACGGAAGAGGAAGGCGGAAUUCCCGGUGUAGCGGUGAAAUGCGUAGAUAUCGGGAGGAACAUCAGUGGCGAAAGCGACUUCCUGGACCAAUACUGACGCUCAUGUGCGAAAGCGUGGGGAGCAAACAGG